ACCUUCCUGAUAAAAGCACUGUGCUAAAAUUGUGAAAAUGAGGUCAUUGGACUUGGUUUUCACAGUAAUGCUAGCAGAGUACACAAAGGGAAGAAGAGUAUUUGCACUGUAUCGUAAAUGAGAUGAGGUCGGACCUCUUUCUUAAUGUCCAGUGCCCUUUGUCUCAAGAUUCAGUGCAACAUUU